rnacentral:tRNA from 1 species
GGUUGUAGCUCAGUGGUAAAGUGCUUGCCUCACAUGUGUGAGGCACUGGGUUCGACCCCCAGCACCA